ACGUGCCACAGGCCGACUAGCUCAGCUGGUUAGAGCGUCGUGCUAAUAACGCGAAGGUCUUGGGUUCGAUCCCCACUGGGUGCGUG